AACGAACGCUGGCGGCAGGCUUAACACAUGCAAGUCGAGCGCCCCGCAAGGGGAGCGGCAGACGGGUGAGUAACGCGUGGGAAUCUACCUUUUGCUACGGAAUAACUCAGGGAAACUUGUGCUAAUACCGUAUGUGCCCUUUUGGGGAAAGAUUUAUCGGCAAAGGAUGAGCCCGCGUUGGAUUAGCUAGUUGGUGGGGUAACGGCCUACCAAGGCGACGAUCAGUAGCCGACUUGAGAGAGUGAUCGGCCACAUUGGGACUGAGACACGGCCCAA
rnacentral:rRNA from 1 species